AAUCUCCCGGACGUUAGAACAAAAUGCGACGGAUAUCAU
rnacentral:sRNA from 1 species